rnacentral:rRNA from 1 species
CGAGCGAGUCUGCCUCAAGAUCGGAGUGCUUGCACUCUGUGAAACAAGAUACAGGCUAGCGGCGGACGGGUGAGUAACACGUGGGUAACCUGCCCAAGAGAUCGGGAUAACACCUGGAAACAGAUGCUAAUACCGGAUAACAACAGAUGAUGCCUAUCAACUGUUUAAAAGAUGGUUCUGCUAUCACUCUUGGAUGGACCUGCGGUGCAUUAGCUAGUUGGUAGGGUAACGGCCUACCAAGGCGAUGAUGCAUAGCCGAGUUGAGAGACUGAUCGGCCACAUUGGGACUGAGACACGGCCCAAACUCCUACGGGAGGCAGCAGUAGGGAAUCUUCCACAAUGGACGCAAGUCUGAUGGAGCAACGCCGCGUGAGUGAAGAAGGGUUUCGGCUCGUAAAGCUCUGUUGUUGGUGAAGAAGGACAGGGGUAGUAACUGACCUUUGUUUGACGGUAAUCAAUUAGAAAGUCACGGCUAACUACGUGCCAGCAGCCGCGGUAAUACGUAGGUGGCAAGCGUUGUCCGGAUUUAUUGGGCGUAAAGCGAGUGCAGGCGGCUCGAUAAGUCUGAUGUGAAAGCCUUCGGCUCAACCGGAGAAUUGCAUCAGAAACUGUCGAGCUUGAGUACAGAAGAGGAGAGUGGAACUCCAUGUGUAGCGGUGAAAUGCGUAGAUAUAUGGAAGAACACCGGUGGCGAAGGCGGCUCUCUGGUCUGUUACUGACGCUGAGGCUCGAAAGCAUGGGUAGCGAACAGGAUUAGAUACCCUGGUAGUCCAU